rnacentral:rRNA from 1 species
CGGCCAGACUCCUACGGGAGGCAGCAGUGGGGGAUAUUGCACAAUGGGGGAAACCCUGAUGGUGCGACGCCGCGUGGGGGAAUGAAGGUCUUCGGCUUGUAAACCCCUGUCAUGUGGGAGCAAAUUAAAAAGAUAGUACCACAAGAGGAAGAGACGGCUAACUCUGUGCCAGCAGCCGCGGUAAUACAGAGGUCUCAAGCGUUGUUCGGAAUCACUGGGCGUAAAGCGUGCGUAGGCUGUUUCGUAAGUCGUGUGUGAAAGGCGCGGGCUCAACCCGCGGACGGCACAUGAUACUGCGAGACUAGAGUAAUGGAGGGGGAACCGGAAUUCUCGGUGCAGCAGUGAAAUGCGUAGAUAUCGAGAGGAACACUCGUGGCGAAGGCGGGUUCCUGGACAUUAACUGACGUUGAGGCUCGAAAGCGUGGGGAGCAAACAGGAUUAGAUACCCCUGUAC